AUUACAUCAAGCUAAGAAAGAGGGCUGCUAUCCACGGUUUUCUUGAGCAUCUAAGGGGCCGAAAUUUCUGCCUUCAUCCUCUAAUCAAGCGCUCAAGGGGACCUUCAAGAGGAACUCGAAGUGGACGCCUAGACAUUGUUUGAGUAUUACUCUCUUGUUGCUAUAGGGUUAGAGACCAAGGGUGCUCGUGAGUAGUACUAGAUUGUUCUCUUUUGAAGACUUUGAGUUACAUUAUAACGGAUGGCUAUAGUACUCUUUUCCGUUGGAUUGUAUUUAAGUUUGAAAGCUACAUAGUUGUAAGUGUAAGAUAUUUGAAGUACUUUAAUUAUGUAUUGAAGUUA